rnacentral:rRNA from 1 species
AUACGUAGGGGGCGAGCGUUGUCCGGAUUUAUUGGGCGUAAAGAGCUCGUAGGCGGCUCAACAAGUCGGCCGUGAAAACCUGAGGCUCAACCUCAGGACGCCGGUCGAAACUGUUGUGGCUAGGGUUCGGUAGAGGAGAGUGGAAUUCCCGGUGUAGCGGUGAAAUGCGCAGAUAUCGGGAGGAACACCAGUAGCGAAGGCGGCUCUCUGGGCCGACACCGACGCUGAGGAGCGAAAGCUAGGGGAGCGAACAGGAUUAGAAACCCCAGUAGUCC